CUCCGAGUCUACUAUAUACUAAUUGCUCCAUUGUAGUCGCUAAUCUUAACACAUAACCUGAUAACCACUCACUAGGAUGAUCCCAAACUGAUGAUGCUAGCACCUUCAUAGAUGAUAGAGACAAAUCAGAAAUACUAAGAUUUUUGAGGCAUUGGUGUAGAUAAAGGAGAGUUCUGCUGUUCAAAUAAGCAACAUUCCUUGUGUAAGUAUUCUAUUCAGAGAACCAAUCGAAUCACUAUACCAAAUGUAAGAUUAUUUUGUUGGCUAUAAAUCUAAGAUUAAAUCA